rnacentral:rRNA from 1 species
UCGCAAUCUUCUUUGUCGAUUUGAACUCUCAAAAAAAAUUACGCUGUUAUCCCUAAGGUAGCUAUUUCUUAUAAUCUAAAACUUAGGAUCAAAUUUUCACAUAUCUGUGUUACAAAAAAAAAAAGUUAAUUAAAUUUUUUCAUCACCCCAACUAAAUACAACAAAACCAAUAAAAUUUUAAUGCCAAAUGUAUAAUAAUCAAGCUAUAUAAAGCUCUAUAGGGUCUUCUCGUCUUCUAUGCUCAUUUAAGCCUUUUCACUCAAAAAUAAAUUUCUAAAUAAUUUUCCACGAGACAGCAGCACCCUCAUUAAUCCAUUCAUUCCAGCUCCUAAUUAAAGAACUAAUUAUUAUGCUACCUUUGCACGGUCAAUAUACCGCGGCCAUUAAACUCUUCAUUGGGCAGGACUGACCUUAAAUUAUACUCAAAAGGCC